UACGGAGGGUGCAAGCGUUAAUCGGAAUUACUGGGCGUAAAGGGCGCGUAGGCGGCGCGGGAAGUCCGUGGUGAAAGCCCGAGGCUCAACUUCGGGUCGGCCAUGGAUACUCCUGGGCUUGAGCACUGUAGAGGCAGGUGGAAUUCCGGGUGUAGCGGUGGAAUGCGUAGAGAUCCGGAAGAACACCGGUGGCGAAGGCGGCCUGCUGGGCAGUAGCUGACGCUGAGGCGCGACAGCGUGGGGAGCAAACAGG
rnacentral:rRNA from 1 species